UACGAAGGGGGCUAGCGUUGUUCGGAAUUACUGGGCGUAAAGGGUGCGUAGGCGGGAUCUUAAGUCAGGGGUGAAAUCCCGAGGCUCAACCUCGGAACUGCCUUUGAUACUGGGGUCCUUGAGUCCGGAAGAGGUGAGUGGAAUUGCGAGUGUAGAGGUGAAAUUCGUAGAUAUUCGCAAGAACACCGGUGGCGAAGGCGGCUCACUGGUCCGGAACUGACGCUGAGGCACGAAAGCGUGGGGAGCAAACAGG
rnacentral:rRNA from 1 species